UAACACGAACCGUGCGAACGUUAUUCGGAAUCACUGGGCUUAAAGGGUGCGUAGGCGGCUUUGCAAGUGAGGUGUGAAAUCCCUCAGCUCAACUGAGGAACUGCGCUUCAAACUGCAUAGCUAGAGGGAGACAGAGGUAAGCGGAACUGAUGGUGGAGCGGUGAAAUGCGUUGAUAUCAUCAGGAACACCAGUGGCGAAGGCGGCUUACUGGGUCUCUUCUGACGCUGAGGCACGAAAGCUAGGGUAGCGAACGGGAUUAGAUACCCCGGUAGUCCUAGCUGUAAACGAUGAGUACUGGAUCGAGGAACCUUCCACAGUUUCUCGGUCGUAGCGAAAGUGUUAAGUACUCCGCCUGGGGAGUAUGGUCGCAAGGCUG
rnacentral:rRNA from 1 species